UCUGUCUUCUCUCUCCUCUCUCUCUUUUCUCUCCCUCCCUCUCUCUUCUCUCUCUCUUCCCUCUUCUCUCUCUCUUCUCUCUCUCUCCCUGGCCCGGCGUGGGCGCCCCGGCUGCUCUCGGGUCGGCGCUCGGGAUGUCCCCCGCCCUCCCCGGAGGGGUGGCCCCUCGCGCUCCCGGACAAGUCUCGGCCCAGCGGGCGGCUCCCUUUGAUCUGGCCGCCUCCCCGCCCUGAGUGCCCGCCGCUGUCGCCGGCGCAGCCCCAAGCGAAUUCCUGUUCGGGGAAAGUCGCAGCCCGCCUGCCGGCGCUCUCCAGUCCAGCUGUGCGACUGCUGCGGGGUCCUGAGGGCGGCGCCGGGGCUCACCGACCGCCAGAGCCUCGCGGGCGAGGGACACGCCGCAGCCCAACGCGGGAGCCUUCAGCUCUUGGGCAAAUGUGCACCCAGCUACCUUUAUCCAGAGAGGGAUCAUCAAGACUGUGGGCAUGCUGGCUGACAUGGUGAUCUCACUAGUAUCCUGUGAAGAACCAUCAAGGAUGCUUUUUAUCGUUCCAACCAUGAACACCACUGAGGUAACAAGACCUAACAUCAAGGGUGAAGACAAGUCACCACUCCACCCUAGUCAGUGAUAUGUCCCACACUUCCUUGGAAGGCCUGGGCCAAAUGACAAAGCUUUGCACAAGAAACUCGGGAACUGUGUUGGAAAAAGCAGACACUGGGUGGGCUCAAGGCUCCUUGUGUAUGGAAGGAUCCACUAUCCAUGCAGACAGCAGCAAGGCAGGACACUUGGCACAUCAGGGCACUGCUCUAAUUUUUACCUUUCAUUCAACCUCCCCAUAACUGCUCCAAAAGAACAGAGGUUUGGGUGUGCUUCAUUAAAAACACAGUAAAGGCAGUUUAAGAGCCACUGAAUUCUUUAUGGUCAGUUUAAUAAACUCAUCAUACCACAAAAAAUCAGUUUAUAAGGCCAUUUAUCAUGUGUACUACACAGUAAAUAAGACCUUGCCCACAGCUUCCCCAAGUCAGUCCCAAGGAUGACUGGGAACGUGAUACCUCAGACUCAGCAGAGACAUUAGAAUAAACAUUUCCGAUAAGGGCUCGAGCUAGCCCCUUCGGUUUCCUCCCUAGAAAAGGCUCAAUCUAUAGCAAAAGGUGCUUAGAAAACAGAAGUCACUAGAAAUGACAAAAGGGGCAACAGCAUUUUCUACACAUUAAAAGCAAAGGGAUCACUGGCUAGUCCUGGCAUUUCCUCUGUAUGAUAAGGGAGGAAGCCAGCCUUCUAACCCAGCUAUCUGGGCACAUGGCAAAUGGCUAGGAGCCUGAACACUGCAUUUCAUGUGGAUAAAGCUGAAGAGAGAAUGGACAAGCUUUUCUUUACGUGGAAGGUGUUUUAAUUAACUGGCUUAACGGAUUAAGCAAACAGCUGCUCAACAGCCAAGAAGAAUCCUUUGAUUUUCGUAACUCCCCCUUCAUAACUCCUUUGGGCUAAGAUGAUUUUACCUGUGUGAAGUGCUCAACAGUUCUUGACCUUCAUGAAAGUGGACAGAAGGAAAACCACAACUUUCCCAUUUUUUCUAACCACAUGGGUUAUAGCAAGGACAGAUUAAAACCUAUUCUGGCUUACCUAGAAACACCAGGAAAGACACCCUGGGAAUUAGGGCACAGCAAUUCUUUAUACAAGAGAACCAGGAGGGACCUCCCUGACGGUUCAGUGGUUAAGACGCCGCGCUUCCACUGCAGGGGGCGCGGGUUUGAUCCAUGGUCGGGGAACUAGGAUCCUGCAUGACCCGUGGCACAGCCAAAAAAAAAAAGAGACAGAGAGAGAGAGAACCAGGAGAUGGUCAAUUGUAUUUAACCUUUUCUAGGUGGUUUUGCCACAAAUUCAUA